CAUGGACUUGAUGACGUGAUUACCGCCCCAGUCUGAAAAAUCAUGAUUGAUUGGUAAACCACUCUGAUCCAUA